UACGAAGGGGCUAGCGUUGCUCGGAAUCACUGGCGUAAGCGCACGUAGGCGGAUUGCUAGUCAGGUGAAUCCUGGAGCUCAACUCAGAACUGCCUUGAUACUGUGAUCUGAGUCGGAGAGUGAGUGACUGCGAGUGUAGAGUGAAUUCGAUAGAUAUCGCAGACACAGUGCGAGCGCUCACUGCCGUACUGACGCUGAGUGCGAAGCGUGGAGCAACAGG
rnacentral:rRNA from 1 species